AUUAGUAAAAGUUAAUUUGUUUUAGUUAAUAAAAUUAAUUUAAAUUUUUUAAGUGAAAUUUUAAAUUUAUUAAUUUUAUAUGAAAAAGUUAAUGAAGCUAGAAAAUUUUAAUAAUAAACUGGAUUAGAUCCCUAUUAUUUAAAAGUAAAAAUUCAAUCCUUGAGUAGUAAUAGAUAUGAUCUUCAAACUUAAAGAAUUUGGCGGUGUUUUAGUCUAUUUAGAGGAGCCUGUCCUGUAAUCGAUAAUCCACGUUGGCCCUUACUAAAAUUGUUGUCAAUUUGUAUAUCGCCGUUUCAGAAUAUCUUAAAAGAGGAAUAAUUUUCUUAAUUUAUUAUUAUAAUUGAUGUCAGGUCAAGGUGCAGUUAAAUUUUAGUAGAGAUGGGUUACAAUAAAUUUAUUUAAACGUUAAAUUAUUUGAAAUAAUGAUUUUAAGGUGGAUUUAAAAGUAAAAUAAUGGAUA
rnacentral:rRNA from 1 species